UACAUCCGAGAUUAAUUCAAGACAAUCUGCUGUUCCUACUCCAGCAGCAUUAAUUGAAACAAUAAUUAGCAGCGAUACUGAUGAUGAAUAUUCUACAUCAGAAGUUAAUUCAAAACAAUCUGCUGUUUCCAAUCCAGCAAUAUUAAUCAAUGAAGAUUCACAAAGUAAUGAAGAUUUUUCAUUAAAAAGGAAAAACAAGAAACUUGUAAAUCCAACUGCAAAGCGUAUCUGCUAUCCCCGAUUUAUUGGAGAUCUUUUUUGUCUAUUCUUAUCAAAAUUCAACACGCAUACAACAGUUCUAUGUAUAGUAAACGAUUUUAGUGACACAAAGAGAAAAAAAUUUAUGUAUUUCUAAGAUGAUUAUAAAAUUUGUGAUAAAGAGAUUUUCCCAAUAAGA